rnacentral:lncRNA from 1 species
GGGCUCAGAUGGGUCGGUAGAUUAUACGGUCACCCUUGUCAUGUCGGAUUAUGAACAAAAUUUCAAGAGCUGCCUCCCUUCAACAAACCCACUGUGCAAAAACCCAUCUUCCUAGUCAAGCAAAUUAGGAAGAGAUUAUUCAUUUUCCAAAAGACUUUUCCUUUGGCCAGGAAAGAACACCCUUAGUUUGCCAGAAAAUCCUGCCAGCCGCCUCCCUGAGUGCAUGGACUGCUAGAUUCCGUUUUGUAAAAUCGAGACAGCGGCUCAGGCGCACAUGCAGUGCGUGGAGUGCAGAAGGCCUGGGUACUCCGGAAGCUUCCAGAGACAGCGUGGGGCGGCUGACGUGCGGGGAGACACAGACGUGGAGGACGCCACGGCCGCCUCGCCCCCAGGGCUCCCGGAGCGCGGCUGGCUGAGGAGCCAAGCAGAUGGUGCUGCUGAGCGUUUCCUGCCUGGGCGGGAGGAGGUGGGGUUGCCGCCGGCGGGGCCUGUGACUGUGAGUGCGGCUCGCUGAGCAGCUGAUGUGGGGGGUAGGGGGGGCGCGGAUUACGCCAUGUGUGACGGCAGAGGGGGGACAACGUGUCGAGAGACGUGGCCUUGGAUGUAAGGAAGGGUCGUGAGAAAAUACGCAGGAAGAGAUACCCCGUGGACAUGUUUCCCUUGGAAAGUGGAGGGAACCCUCUGAGCCGUGAUUCCGCCUGAAUUAAGCAGUGGCGGGCACUGGCCUGGCAGGCGGCUUCUACUGCCUUGGAUUUGCACCUCUAAGGGGUCACAGGGGCCACCCCCGAAACAAGACAAAGUGUGAUCAUGGACAGGCCCUCGGGGGGCCGGAAGAAGGAACGGCUCCAGUGAUGAAAGCUGAACGCCAGCUCUCUCCCCAUCGUUCUCCCGGACCAGGAGAGGGCUGCUCGGCAGGGCUAGGUUUAAAAACCUUCCAUGCAACUUACGAAGGCAUCCACAGUGACUUCUGCUGCUGUGGUACGUUCUGCCCUCCCCUCCUCCCCGCCCCAUCCUGUUCUCGGCUACAAGUUAUUUAUAUGUACAGUGUCAUCUGAACGUGCACGGGCCUAUCCCAGGACAUCACACACAAAGAGGCGGCGGUGAACCCAAGCCGCCGGGCCGGCCUGUGGCUCAGUGUGUGUUUCAGAAGUCCCGGCCCCAGGCAGCUCUCCUGAACAGAGCCACUGGAACUCAGGAGGGUCAGGACCACAGCCCAAACAACUGCGACCGAAAACACCCUACAGGGCUUGAGAACUAAAAAAUAAGGAGGGAUCUGGGCAGCCGAGCUGCCUCCUAAAGAAGCCACGUCAUAGAGAAAACUGCUUGCUCUAUCCAUGAGACGGAGGCGGCCGGGGUGUCCUGCCAGCAGACACGGGUCUGUCCAUCACCGGCCACCACGCUGCCUCUGUCCUUCACUCCCAUUUAAGGGAAAACGAUAUCUCUUCAUCUUUCUGCCCUGGACAUUGGAAAUCAGCGGAAGAGUCUCUCCCUUUUGCAAACGCCAGCCACAGAGGUUUAUUUUUCUCCCUGAGAGAAGGAAGAGUGAAGGCUGAGACUGAGACAGAAGGACAGAAGGAGAAGACUUAGAAGCCAGUGAGCCCGGAACCACGAGACGCGCUCUGAGGACACGGGGCCUCGGGGAAACCGGGCACGGGCAGGGGUUGGUCUUGGCUUCCCCGCAACAUUGCCGCGAGCUCGGGUGCCGUCUCCACUCGCAGGCUGGCCUGUCCUCUGCAGCCACGAGCUCAGGCACCGUCUCCGUUCAUAGGCCAGCCUGUUCUCUGCAGCCUGAGGUCCCUGUGGUGCCAACAUCCAGAUGCUGAGAUAAUUCUGCCAGGGUGUUGGCUGAUCGGUGAUUGGUGGUUGGCUGUUCCGUGAGUUCUGCAUUGAUCUUGCUGGCUGAGCGUCCAAUGCGGAGGGGCAGGUGCUGUUAGGGUCUCCACUCCCAUCCCUCUCCCCAGGACUCAUCACCCACUGCAACCGUAAGCUGCUAGGGGCUCACAGCCGUGAGUCUUUGGGACGGGUGGUCCCACCUGGCAUGUAGCUCAGGCUCCUAGCCCCAGGACCCUGCCGCUGCUCCCCUCCCGCCCACAUCUUGGCUUAGCCGUCUUCCCUGGCUGCCAGCCCCUUCCCCUGGUCUUAGUUGGCUUGAGCCACUAAACUGAAAUAGCACACCCUGAGGCCUUCAACAGCAGACCUGAUUUCUCACCAUCUGGAGGCUGGAGGUCCAGGAUCCAGGCCCCCAAGGCUGCUUUCUCCCCCACUCCCCCACCCACCUUCCAGGACACGCAGACUCCACCCUCUUGCUGCCCUGUCUCAGGGCUGUCCCUCUGGGCAAGCAGGCCCCUGGCAUCCCCGUGUGUCUUCUCCUCCUGUUCUUAUAAGGACACCAGUCAUACUGGAUCUGGGCCCACCCUAGUGACCUCAUUUACCUUAAUCACCUCUGAAAGACCUUGUCUCAAAAACAGCCACAUUCUGGGGCACUGAGGGUUAGGGCUUUAACAUGGGAAUUUGAGGGAUGCAAUUCACCCCAUAAAACCCAGACCAUUCCCCCAGUAAAUCACUUUCACAAGAGCUCUUCUCUCAGGCUUUGCUUCUGGGGGAUCCCCCUUGAGAUGGAUCCAUCUAGCUUCCUGCUUCUCAAAGAACAGAGGGGAGAGCUCUGGUGCGAAGGGAACGGGUGGCCUCGGGGACCUGCGGAUAAGCUGCUGGCACUGCCAGGGGACAGGCUGAGCUGAAAGCCAGGAGGAGGGCGGCGAGGCCCGGGGCCGGACCUCAUUCUUCUGAGUGUUAUAAAAUCUGGCUUUGCUCAGAAACUGCCCCAUGUGUGCUUUUGUUAAUUGAAGUGCAAAAUUUUCUCCAAGUAAUAACUGGAGUCGUUUAACAAUACAAAUAAUUUGCACCUUAAUUUGGUCGAUGGCACAAUUGCUAAUUCCUAGAGACUCAGAGGAGCAAAGUGAUCACGAAUUCCAAGAGUGGAAACAAAUCCAUUCCGCAAAUUUCACCCUGGCUUCUUCCUCGCCGGCCUGGGAGCUGCCCCGAGGGUCCUGGAACCUUCAGCUGCUUCCGGGCUCAGCCGGUGUCGUGGGGAGCCAGGUCCUGUGGUGGCUCCCAGCCCCAAAGCUGACUCUGCGUGGGACAACAAACGGUUUAAUUAACCUCUCAGCUUUUUCAUCUGUGAAGCGGAGCUUGGGAUGCUUGCCACCGGACCAGGAGGCCACGAAGACGGAUGUUAGAAAACCUCUGUGCCAGUGACGAAAGACAUCGAAGCUAUAAUACCCUGUUAGGCAAAGCAAGAAGAUAACUCAUACAUGCAGGAGACAGUCUCCUUGUGCAGAGGGGCCUUUGGAACCGAUGUAUGGUGGAGCCCUGAGAAACCUGAAGCUGUGUAGAGCCUGCAGCCCCCGCCCCACGUCCCAAAGCGAUGUGGCCUGGGGAGCUCUUGUCCUGCCCUUUUUGGACACCCCCCUUCUUUGAGGGCAUCUUUCUUCUUAAAGGUGUUGGGGCGGGAGUAGGUGGGGGUCUAGCUUUGCUGAUUUCCUUGUAAGUGCAUUUUAUUAUUAUUAUUAUUAUUAUUAUUAUUAUUAUUAUUAUUUUGAGACAGAAGCUCGCUCUGAUGAGCGAGAUUCAAAAUUAUUAUUUUGAGACGGGGUUUCACUAUGUUGGCCAGGCUGGUCUCGAACUCCUGACCUCAGGGAUCCACCCACCUCGGCCUCCCAAAGUGCUGGGAUUACAGGCAUGAGCCACUGCGCCCAGCCAAGUGCAUUGUUUUUAAAAGGGGUAAAUCAUCUAGUGAAACCCCAUCUCUAUUAAAAUACAAAAAUUAGCCAGGCCUGGUGGUGCACACCUGUAGUCCCAGCGACUCCAGAGUCUGAGGCAGGAGAAUCGCUUGAACCUGGGAGGCGGAGGUUGCAGUGAGCUGAGAUCGCGCCACUGCUCUCCAGCCUCGGUGACAGAGCGAGAUUCCGUCUCAAAAUAAUAAUAAUAAUAGUCUGUCUCUGUGUGUUUAAUUACAAGUAACUAACUAGUUACUGUUGCAACUCAUUUAUUUGGGGACAGGCUCCUAUCUAGUGUCCCACCACGAUAUUAUUUGGGCCAGGAAAGACAUACACAACCGAUGAAAGGCUGGGAGCUGAAUCUUAGUGCUAAAGAUUCGCUGUGGGAAAGCACAGAGCCUAGGAGUUUGCUAAGGGCCUGGGCUCCUACAGGCAGGCACCGCUGACUGAUAGCCAGAAGAUUCUAGACUCCCAGGCCACCUGUGCUCAGAGUCAGCAAUGCGCGUUUCUCUGUCCGUAAGUCAGCGGUGCGGGUCUCUGUGUGACUGUGUCAGGGUGCUCUUGGGAAGAGGGGUGAGGGGCUGUGGGCCUCGAGCUGACGGGACGGGCAGGAAGGCUCACCUACCGAGGACAGCAAGUCAGAGCCAACAGGGGAGCCCUCCGGGGAAAGGGCUUUCAAGCCCUGGCACCACCAAGGUUUCAACCAAGAGACGUUGAACCAGGUUCCAGUAGACAACCCGCUGUCAGGGUGCACAGACUGUGGAAACCAGUGAGAAGUCCUCUUCCUGUACAACACGGUGGCCAGUGCAUGGCUGCAGACCUCAGCCAAAAGCCCACAGCCAGGCCAGCAGUUACAGGCGGCAGCCGGUCUCUUGUCUUCCCAAGGCCCCAGCAGCUCUGUCCUUCCACACAGCCCCUGCUGACGGCCAUCGUUGGUAUGGACACAUCAGGCCUCCAGGCUGCUGCAGGGCCUGUCCCUGGUGGCAGCUGUGACAUUAGUCAUCGAGGGGCUCCCCUGGCCUCCCCUGGCUGGCUGGGAGUGAGGUGACAUAAAUAGACUGAGCAGGUAGCUCUGCAGACCACGGGAUCACCAGCGUCCCUUGUGGCCAGUGUGGCUUUAAAGUGUGUCCCAGAGGUGGCUCUUGAGGCAGUCUUGCUGGACUGUUAUUAGGCACAUCUGCUCCAGGGAGUGCCCAUUCAUUAUGGCCAAAUAAGCAGGCAUAGGCGCCGGCCCCAGACGAGGUCUCUGGGGAACUCCAGGGGUGGGAGAGCCACCCUCUCCAGCGGCCUCAGGGCCCCGGUGCUCGGAAGCCUGGCUCCUCUGGCUUGAGCUCAGGUCUACAGCGAGCAGGGAGUCUUCCUACUGCUGCUCCAAGCUGCCUGGGCCAGCUGUGUUCGCCGAGGGGGCUGCCGGCUCACCACUGCCUGCCUUGAGUGCCAGGGUCUUUUGUGAAAUAAUCAUGUUACUCAAGUUCAGUCCUUGAAUAAAUAGCACAUUUUUG